GGGGGGGUACCCUCUCCCCAGCCAGCCUUUGCCAGGUUCACCUCAAAUCCAUCCACCACUACAAUGUCCCCUGAGGAGCCCAUGCAGAUUGGGCGUGCCCGUCUGUCAGCUGAAGAAAGACAGCGUCGUAUGGACUCACGGGCGUGCCUAUAUUGUGGCCAGGUUGGUCAUUACAUUGCCCUUUGUCCAGAGAGGCCAAAAGGGGGAGCCCACCAGUAGUUACGGGAAUACUGGUGGGUGGGCUCAACCAAACUGCUUCCCGUUUCAUCCUUCCAAGCUCUCUGCUUCUUAAUCAAGAAUCAUUUCAGUUCACGUCUCGGCUUUGGACGUCCCCAGUGGUCCUUGGCCAUCCUUGGCUCUCAUUACAUAAUCCACAUCUGAACUGGAGAGAGGGUAGAGUUGAGUCCUGGAGCCUCCAUUGUCUCUCAAGCUGCCUCCGUUCUGCCCAUGUUUUUCUCCUUUUGAGGUGUCGCUGGGUUACCAGCCCCCCCUUUUUCCAUCAGAAGAAGGGCAGACAUCCAUUACUUCAGUUCAACAUCAUCUUCGACGCUGCAAGCGUAUUUGGGAACAGACUCGGAGAGCCCUGCAUCGAACCGCUGAACAGAAUCGGCGCUAUGCUGACCGGAAACGAGCUCCUGCCCCUGCCUACCGCCCUGGAGACAAGCACUGCAGGUGGGCGUGGCUGGCUGUCCGAGCACCUGAGACCAAUCAACCCAUCCACCUGAGAGGGAUUUAAGGAGCUGCAGCCAUCUCUUCCACGCCUGAUGGUCCCCAUAUUCUGGUUUUAAUCGAAGCGCUCCUGGACGGAUCCCUUCUGCGUCUAACUCAGCGUGCUGAUCCUAUCUGCAGCUUAGUUUCUGUCAGCCUGCCCGCUCUCCACCGCUCCAGUGAAAACUCUCUGACGAUCGCCUCAGUCUGACUGCCCGCUCUUCACCACCUCUGUGACAGCUCCGUGAUCAACGUCUCCUCCCUCAGCGC